rnacentral:other from 1 species
CGUUGCCUGUGGUGUUAGUAGACGUUUCUAAUCCCUUAGAACCUAGUCUUUUUACCCGGGAGUUAUAUUGGUAAGCUGGUGUGAUCGAUUCUGCUAGCCGUUUGCUCGCAAACUGUUAGUUGCUAUUGAACCCGACGUUUGCCAUCGAUUCCCACUUGAACCACCGGUUCAAGGCACCAAACGUAGUACGGCAUUUACGGGUAACGC